AGCGGUGAUAAAUAAGCCCUCAGAGGUGCCGAAUCUGUCCUCAGAGCUCCCGAAUCCACCCUCGGAGGUCCCAAAUCUAUCCUUAGAGCUCCCUGAUCCACCCUCGGAGGUCCCUGAUCCACCCUCGGAGGUCCCAAAUCUGCCCUCAGAAGUGCCAAAUCAACCCUCAGAACGCCGAACUCAGCCCUCAGAACUCUGAACUCAGUCCUCAGAGCUCAGCCUUCAAAAGUUUGAAAUCAGCCCUCAGAACUCCUCACUCAACCCUCAGAACUCCGAACCAGAGGUCAUCCCUCAGUCCUCCGAACUCAGAACUCCGCUCUCAGAGCUCAGGCCUUAGAACUGAGAACUCAGCCCUCAGAAUUUAGUCCUUAGAGCUCAGCCCUUGGUCCCUUGAAAUUCAAUUUCGGUGCCAAGGGGUUUGGUCAGGGAAUAGUGUGCUUUUCACAAUACCAACUUCUUAAUGAAGCUGAUGGACAAUAAUAAGUGGGCAAAACUGAGACUGGGAAAAUAAACUUAUUGAGUUGAAUAUAAUCAAAGCAAAACCAAAAAAAGUCUUGUGUCUUCAGGAUCACAUUUUAUAGGAAAAAAUACUCAAUGUGCAACAGGUAUCAGCAAUUCAUUGUCCUAGCAACACUGCUCAAAUAAGAACUGGAAAGGAACAAGGGGGUGGUUUUAAAGACUGUGCUAUUGCUAGCUGUUGGGGAGCUUUUUGUCCUUUAUAAUUUCUAUAAUUGUAAAGUUCCCUGUAGAGAAGAAAACACAAUAGCAAAAGUAUAUUUGAAAUGCUAAUAAAAUUAUAUUACUUGUG